rnacentral:rRNA from 1 species
AGUCACUGACAUUAGAUACCCGCGUAGUCCAGGGUGUAAACGCUGCAGACUUGGUGUUGGAGGCCCGUUUGGGGGCAUUCAGUGCCGGAGAGAAGUUGUUAAGUCUGCUACGUUGGGAGUACGUCCGCAAGGAUGAAACUUAAAGGAAUUGGCGGGGGAGCACCGCAACGGGAGGAGCGUGCGGUUUAAUUGGAUUCAACACCGUAAACUCACCAGGGAAGACUGUUACAUGAAGGCCGAGAUGAAGACUCUGCUAGAUUUUCAG